rnacentral:rRNA from 1 species
GAUGAACGCUAGCGGCAGGCUUAAUACAUGCAAGUCAAGGGGGUAGCAAUACAACCGGCGCACGGGUGAGUAACGCGUACACAACAUACCAUAUACUGGGGUAUAGCUUUGGGAAACUGAAGGUAAUCCCCAUAACAUUGCGAGAGGGCAUCUGAUUGCAAUUAAAGUUUCGGCGGUAUAUGAUUGGUGUGCGUUUGAUUAGCUAGUUGGUAGGGUAACGGCCUACCAAGGCGACGAUCAAUAGCUGGCGUGAGAGCGCGACCAGCCACACUGGAACUGAGACACGGUCCAGACUCCUACGGGAGGCAGCAGUAGGGAAUAUUGGACAAUGGAGGAAACUCUGAUCCAGCCAUGCCGCGUGAUAGGUGAAGGCCCUCUGGGUUGUAAAUAUCUUUUAUCUGGGAAGAAACAAUCUUAUUCUUAAGAUCUUGACGGUACCAGAGGAAUAAGCACCGGC